UCUUUAAAUCAGAAGCUUCCUCGUCCUCACAUGUAACCUGAUCAUGGCUCAUCUCCCACUGCACUUCGCACACUAAUGUUAGAUCUAACUCCCUUUCUAUAUCACUCCCUCGAGACUCCACUUUCUUCUUGUCUUCUUCACCUCACUUCUUUCUCAAACAAAAACUUAGCCCUAACCCUAGCUUUCGGUUCUCGUUUUUUUUUUUCUAUCUUGUUUUUCAUUUUUUGCGCACUGUAAUAGAGAUAGUCGUGAUAGAGCUAUGUAAAGAAUGUAAUAUUGUACCAUGUAGAGUUCUCAAAAGGAAUGGUGUUUUUCAAUCAAGCAAAUAUGGAAUUUGAGGCGAAGCCAAGAGUUCAUAAAAGGGUCUGGUUAAUGUUUCAAAAAUCAAUGGGUAUCCUCGUGGGUGGGAACCAUACCUCCUCCAGGUCGUUUUCCUCGCAUUUGGAUUCUUGUAAUCAGCAUCAAAGACGUAAUCUUUGCUAAUAGUAAUCAAAGACUGAAUUAUUUAUUCAAGGGAUUCCUGUUCAGCUACUGAUAGAUGAGUGAAAGCCGCUCAUUCUCUGCUCUCCAUGAAUGUGCAGGAGAGAGGGAUGGUACGCUUUAUUUGCCCAGUGGUUGAAACGAGUCCCGUGUUCUUGCUAUCUUCAUAAAUUAACUUUUCACCAUUUUUAUAGAACGAAACAAAAAACUCUUACCAAUCACUCUGUUACCGUUUGAUGCAAGUCAUUUUAUCCUUCCACAAGGAAAUGCCUUGUGGUUAGGCAGGAGAAUGAAGGGAUGACCACAAUCCAACACAAUCCUUUCCUAAGAAUUUAUGAAGCCAAAUUCAUGUUC